UGCCUACGGGGCGCAGCAGUGAGGAAUAUUGGUCAAUGGGCGGGAGCCUGAACCAGCCAAGUCGCGUGAGGGAAGACGGUCCUAUGGAUUGUAAACCUCUUUUGUCGGGGAGCAAAGAGGCCACGUGUGGUCAAAAGCGAGAGUACCCGAAGAAAAAGCAUCGGCUAACUCCGUGCCAGCAGCCGCGGUAAUACGGAGGAUGCGAGCGUUAUCCGGAUUUAUUGGGUUUAAAGGGUGCGCAGGCGGAAGAUCAAGUCAGCGGUAAAAUUGAGAGGCUCAACCUCUUCGAGCCGUUGAAACUGGUU
rnacentral:rRNA from 1 species